GGGCUGGGGCUUAGCGGUAGAGUGCUCACCUAGCAUGUGUGAGUCUCUGGGUUCGAUCCUCAGCACCACA
rnacentral:tRNA from 1 species